rnacentral:rRNA from 1 species
UACGUAGGGGGCGAGCGUUGUCCGGAUUUAUUGGGCGUAAAGAGCUCGUAGGCGGUUUGGUAAGUCGGGUGUGAAAUCUCCACGCUCAACGUGGAGGGGCCACUCGAUACUGCCAUGACUCGAGUCCGGUAGAGGAGUGUGGAAUUCCUGGUGUAGCGGUGAAAUGCGCAGAUAUCAGGAGGAACACCGGUGGCGAAGGCGGGUCUCUGGGCCGAUACUGACGCUGAGGAGCGAAAGCGUGGGGAGCGAACAGG